rnacentral:rRNA from 1 species
CAGUCGANGGCAGCGCGGGGGCAACCCUGGCGGCGAGUGGCGAACGGGUGAGUAAUAUAUCGGAACGUACCCAAGAGUGGGGGAUAACGUAGCGAAAGUUACGCUAAUACCGCAUACGAUCUAAGGAUGAAAGCAGGGGACCGCAAGGCCUUGUGCUCCUGGAGCGGCCGAUAUCUGAUUAGCUAGUUGGUAGGGUAAAGGCCUACCAAGGCAUCGAUCAGUAGCUGGUCUGAGAGGACGACCAGCCACACUGGAACUGAGACACGGUCCAGACUCCUACGGGAGGCAGCAGUGGGGAAUUUUGGACAAUGGGCGCAAGCCUGAUCCAGCAAUGCCGCGUGAGUGAAGAAGGCCUUCGGGUUGUAAAGCUCUUUUGUCAGGGAAGAAACGGGUGGGGAUAAUAUCCUCAUCUAAUGACGGUACCUGAAGAAUAAGCACCGGCUAACUACGUGCCAGCAGCCGCGGUAAUACGUAGGGUGCAAGCGUUAAUCGGAAUUACUGGGCGUAAAGCGUGCGCAGGCGGUUUUGUAAGUCUGUCGUGAAAUCCCCGGGCUCAACCUGGGAAUGGCGAUGGAGACUGCAAGGCUAGAAUCUGGCAGAGGGGGGUAGAAUUCCACGUGUAGCAGUGAAAUGCGUAGAGAUGUGGAGGAACACCGAUGGCGAAGGCAGCCCCCUGGGUCAAGAUUGACGCUCAUGCACGAAAGCGUGGGGAGCAAACAGGAUUAGAUACCCUGGUAGUCCACGCCCUAAACGAUGUCUACUAGUUGUCGGGUUUUAAUUAACUUGGUAACGCAGCUAACGCGUGAAGUAGACCGCCUGGGGAGUACGGUCGCAAGAUUAAAACUCAA